UGAGUAAAAAAGGUGCUUUUUUCCUCCAUCGCACUUCCGGAUCGCUCAGACUGUUUUCCUUUUUUCCACAAAGGGGCGCAAAGUUUGUUUUCGCAGUUUCACUUCCGGUUUUUAUAGCUGUCGAACUUCCGAAGUUGUUACAGAAGGCUAUUAUCCAACAAAUCACGGACGUUAAACUGUUUGCAUAUCCGCCUAAACAACACGACCAUUUUUCCACUCAUGGUAUAAAUACGACUUUCCACCAGAUAAUCCAACAUCACAACGUUUUGCACCUAGAGGCCGUGUCAAACGCAGAACAACCAGUGCACAAUGACCGUCACGAAGAUAUAUAUCCUUUACUUCUUCAUCGCCACGCUUCUUCUCGAUUCCGUGAAGAAAUCUGAAUGUUCCUCUGAUAAAUGGAUUUUUUCUGGAAAGAUGGCAGCUGGCUUCUCCACUCAAAAACGUCCCAAACGAAGCCCGUGUAUUGUUGGUACAAGAUGGAGAACAAGAAGAUGCCAAAAAAGCAAACGAGCUCUACAACCGAAGGUAUUUUUUUCUGAUCGCGACUGGAAUAAAAAUUGAUGAACAGACACUAAAAAGAAGAGGAAAAAAAAAGAUGCACGUGAAGUCAAGGCCAUUGGUCUAGGCAUGUUCAGAUCAAGUCUUCAAGGCAGCUCACCAUGUUGGAAAAUAAUUGCUUGAUGCUGAAACUGUUUAUUUUUUACUUUGACAAAAUAAAGGAACUAACCCAGCUUGGUUUAAUUAGAACUUGACGCCA